AAACCUCUGCGGUGUUCGAGACCGGGCUUCCAGAUUGUUGGCCCUACAAGUAUUUCUCUGGAGAGCGCGACAGUCGGCAGCGUGUUUAUCCCGUGUGGCGUUUCAUCGCGUCUCACAGGACCACACAAUCCAAUUGAGUGCAUCCCCCCUUGGACUGAUUGGGUCCAAACAAAGUUGCCUGAACGGCACCUGCGGAGGUCUU
rnacentral:other from 1 species